rnacentral:rRNA from 1 species
AAAGCGCACGUAGGCGGAUCGAUCAGUCAGGGGUGAAAUCCCAGAGCUCAACUCUGGAACUGCCUUUGAUACUGUCGAUCUGGAGUAUGGAAGAGGUAAGUGGAAUUCCGAGUGUAGAGGUGAAAUUCGUAGAUAUUCGGAGGAACACCAGUGGCGAAGGCGGCUUACUGGUCCAUUACUGACGCUGAGGUGCGAAAGCGUGGGGAGCAAACAGGAUUAGAUACCCGGGU